CCUUCUCCCCCAGCCGCCAAACCUCCCCUCCCUCCCUCCCUCUCGCCGAUGUCGUCGGCAGGCGUGGUCGGGCGCUUGCUCGCGUGGCGCUGUGAAGCCGACGGUGGUGGGCCGCUGCCUUUUCUCGUCGCGGUUCCCGGCUCGGGCGACGUGCUCCGGUGGCGGUGGUCCUCGGUGGGAGGUGCCCCGAGGCAGAUCGGGCGGCGGCGCGGCCCCUUGGCGACGGUGUCGGAUGGCGGCGCCAUGCUGGCCCAGAUCUGGGCCCUUAGGGCCUAGAUCUGGGUCGGGGUGGGCCGGUUCGGUCUCCGGCGGGUCGUCUCCGGCUGGUCUGGCGCGAUAAGGGAGAUGGGGGCGGCGGCUCCUGUGCUACGUCUGCUGCAGCGCGACGGCGGGGGCUUAACGGGCCCGAUCUGGACUCGGGUAGACAGUCGGUCCGGCAUGCCCUUGCUCCUGCGUCCGGUUUGCUACCGCUUGAGCCGGUGGAGGUUUCCCCUCCCACGCGAUUGUGGUAUUGCCGGUCCCAGUCCACGGUGGUUGUGUCUCAGUCCAGCGGCCUCGCUGCGUUUUCUUUGGUGAGACGACGGUAUUGUCCUCGUGACUGUGGUGGCGCAUGUUGGUGGGUGAUUGGCAUGGUUGAGCUAAGAAUUGGUUCCAGGUGGUGGGUGUGAGGGGUCGGGAGAAAUCUCUCUCUGAUCCGGCCACACCGGUGCGGUGACGCCUGCGGGCGCCCCCUCCCUUCCUGAAGGGCGUUAGAUGUACCUCUCCCCCACUCCCCUCCGUGUGCCGGGAGAAAUCCUAGGACUUGUCCAGGCAGCAGCGUCGUCGUCAUUGCAGUCCUUCUUGAAGGUGUCCUUGGCACGCGGCAAUUCGAUGGCACUGAAGUGUGGUGGAAUUAUCCGGUGGACACAACAGUUACGGGACACUACAACUUUCGUUGAUCAGUUUGUAGGAGCAGUUAUCAUCUCCGAAAGACGAAAAAUGAGAGUGAGAGAACAUGAAGAGAUCGUCAUCGCCAGGGACGAUAUGCGCCAAGUGAAGGACAUAGCCAGGUUUUAUUUUAUUUUUUUGACGGGAAGGACACAACCAGAUUGUCAUCCCCUGGGAGACAAAAGGACAUAGCCAGGUUUUAUUUUAUCUUUUUGACGGGAAGGACACAACCAGAUUGUCAUCCCCCGGGAGACAAAAUAUGCCGAGUGGGAGGACAUCUUGUUCAUCAGGUAUGUAUUCCUUGUUCGCUUUUUGAUUUCGUCGGCACCUUUAACCGGCAACAAAAAUAUUUCAAAAGGAAAAUGGGGUUUACAGAAAGUCAAACAAACUAUGAUUAGAUUAGCGCAUCGAGCUACGUGAGAUCAUUCAUGCUCUGCCGAGCACGCUGGCAUGGCAUCAGAGCCUUGGCUGUCUUUACCAGCAGAGAAGUUUGCAUCACACAUAAUUCUACGCUGCCUCAUAUCCCGUUGUUCAGAAGCAUGGGGUUUGUACCAGGGAAGCAACUGAACAAAACAAAACAUGCUCAGGCUCAGAAAUUGCAGAGGCAUCACCUCCCAGGCAGAUCUCCGGCAUCAAGAUGGGAAGAAAUAUAUUCAGUUACAGUUUUCACCAACCAAACCUUGCAACAUCAAUCUGGCAAGGCGGGGAACACUGCCACAGAUGGCAGGCAAUACAGAAAAUAUAUAAGCAGCGAGCUGGAUCCUGCAUGGAUAGCAAUCCUAUCACAGCACACAAAUCACAACCAGCCAUAUACAGUAUUACAGUACAGUACGACGACAUCUAUUGCCCAUCUGGAAAA